rnacentral:rRNA from 1 species
ACCUACGGGAGGCAGCAGUGGGGAAUAUUGCACAAUGGGGGGAACCCCGAUGCAGCGACGCCGCGUGGGUGAAGGAGUACUUCGGUACGUAAAGCCCUAUCAGCAGGAAAGAAAAUGGCGGUACCUGACUAAGAAGCCCCGGCUAACUACGUGCCAGCAGCCGCGGUAAUACGUAGGGGGCAAGCGUUAUCCGGAUUUACUGGGUGUAAAGGGAGCGUAGACGGCAGUGCAAGUCCGGAGUGAAAGCCCGGGGCCCAACCCUGGGACUGCUCUGGAAACUGUAAAGCUGGAGUGCGGGAGGGGCA